rnacentral:ncRNA from 1 species
GUCUGCAACCCGACUCCACGAAGCUGGAUUCGCUAGUAAUCGCGCAUCAGCCACGGCGCGGUGAAUACGUUCCCGGGCCUUGUACACACCGCCCGUCAAGCCAUGAAAGCCGGGGGUACCUGAAGUGCGUAACCGCAAGGAGCGCCCUAGGGUAAAACCGGUAAUUGGGGCUAAGUCGUAACAAGGUAGCCGUACCGGAAGGUGCGGCUGGAACACCUCCUUU